GCUGGCGUAGCUCAGGGGUAGAGCAGGGGUUUUGUAAACCUCUGGUCGGGGGUUCAAUUCCCUCCGCCAGCUCCA
rnacentral:tRNA from 1 species